AAAUGAUAUUUAUUCCAAAUUUAAGAUUACAAAGAAGAAAAAAAACCAUACAAAAUACAAAGAAAACUUUAGCCGUAACAAAACAUAGAAUGAACAAAUAAAAAAGAACAAUAAAAUAGAAUAUAAAAGAAGACUUAACAAAAAAUAUAAAAAUACAUUAAGUUAAAAUAAGACAAAAAACAGAUUAAACCUUUACUUAGCCUUUUCCCUUUACUUAUUUCCAUGACCUCCUCUCACCUCCCAAUUUUGUAUUCUAGUUCAGAUCGUAUUUCCAGCAAAUCCUUCUAACCUUCUUUUCAUUUACGUAUUUUAAAAUUAAAAUAAUGUAAUUAAACCUCCUCUAUUUCAUCGAUUUCCGCACCUCAUUUUUACUUAGUCCAUUAUAUCAUAUCUGCCCAAACGACCUAAUAUUCUUUUUCCAACCUCUUUCUAACAUUCUUUUAUAUUGCAGUAUUUUUGAAGAUAUAUUUUGAAUUUUUUCCAGUCUUCUUCCAUCGACCCUUCUCCCUGGUCUCGAAUUCUGCCAGUCAUCUCAGCCAGUUCCAUGUAGUCCAUCACUUUCAUCUGCCAUUCUUCUCGGGUAGGCAAUUCUUGUGUCUUCCAGUACUUCCCAAUGAGUAUUCUUGCUGCUGCUGUAGCAUACAUAAAAAAAGUUCUAUCCUCCCUUCGCACCAAUUGGCCGACCAUGCCCAGGAGAAAGGCCUCUGGUUUCUUCAAAAAGGUAUAUUUAAAUACCUUUUUCAAUUCAUUAUAAAUCAUUUCCCAGAAAGCCUUAAUCCUUGGGCAUGUCCACCAAAGGUGAAAAAACGUACCUUCAGUUUCUUUACAUUUCCAACAUUUACUAUCUGGCAAGUGAUAGAUUUUUGCUAGCUUGACUGGGGUUAAGUACCACCUAUACAUCAUUUUCAUUAUAUUUUCUCUUAAGGCAUUACAUGCCGUAAGUUUCAAACCUGUGGUCCAUAACUGUUCCCAGUCAGCAAACAUAAUGUUAUGUCCAAAAUCUUGUGCCCAUUUAAUCAUAACAGAUUUAACCGUUUCAUCCUGUGUGUUCCAUUUCAGCAGCAAAUUAUACAUUCUUGACAAAUUCUUAGUUUUAGGGUCUAACAAUUCUGUUUCUAAUUUUGAUUUUUCCUCCUGGAAACCAAUCUUUUUAUCUAGAUUAAAAGCCUCCCUUAUUUGAUAGUAAUGAAGCCAGUCUCGAACUUUAGUUUUUAGUUUAUCAAAACUCUGCAGCUUUAGUUUAUCUCCAUCUUGUUCUAGAAUUUCACAAUAUUUUGGCCAGUUUGUCUCCAUAUUAGUUUUUUUCAGAGCCUUAGCCUCCAUUGGUGACAACCACCUUGGUGUUUUACUUUCUAACAAAUCCUUGUAUCUCACCCAGACAUUAAACAGUGCUUUCCUGACAAUAUGGUUCUUAAAGGCCUUAUGUGCUUUAACCUUGUCAUACCAUAAAUAUGCAUGCCAUCC